rnacentral:rRNA from 1 species
UACGUAGGGUGCAAGCGUUAAUCGGAAUUACUGGGCGUAAAGCGUGCGUAGGCGGUUUUGUAAGCCAGAUGUGAAAGCCCCGGGCUUAACCUGGGAAUGGCAUUUGGGACUGCAAGGCUUGAGUGCGGCAGAGGAGACUGGAAUUCCUGGUGUAGCGGUGAAAUGCGUAGAUAUCAGGAGGAACACCGGUGGUGUAGACGGCUUUCUGGACCGUAACUGACGCUGAGACACGAAAGCGUGGGUAGCAAACAGG